ACAGGAAAAAGCCGCCCGUAUGAUUCAAUUACCUUCCACCAGGUGCCUCCCACUGUAACACUUGCUGUCUAGGGCUUUGGAGGUCAUUGGUACUCCCCGCUAGAUGCUUCCGUGGGGCUCACAGAGUUUUGUUCCAGCUGACACCCAAAAGCGCUCACCUGCGUGCCCCUUCCCGGGAAGGGUUGAGCGCCCACAGGUUCCAGUGAGUGGAGUUUGCCCCUGCCAAUGCUGAAGCAGCUGGCUAGCUCCAGUGCCUGCACUGCAGUUCCCACCCACCAAGGGGUCAGGGGAAUUUCCUGCUUCAGUAUAUUCCUCAAGUCUGAGAUUUACUUACUUUUAUAAGUGCCUAAUUUGUAAGACAAAGCUCUCUUUCAACAAAGCAUCAGCAUUCUCCGAGUUGAUAGAUGGCUUACCUAAGUCUGUCUUUUUUUUUUAAUUUUUAUUUUACUGCUUUGAACUUGAGUGUUCAUAUUACCUCCUCAACACUCAUAAUUAUUUAUAAUUGCCAUUUUUACAGUACUGCUCAAGUACUACACUAUUUUUAUAGCCCAGUAUGGACCCUUAGAUCUUUACUCCAACCAAAUUCACAACAUGUGGGGGGUCUUAGAACUUCGGAUGUUUUAUUACGCUAAGAGUUCUCACUCCUUCACUUAUCACCAUAAAUAGCCAGAGGACAAUUCUGUACUGGAAACCCAUUAUGAGAAUCUGCCUUCUAGGAAUCCACUUCUAAUACCACUUGUCUUUGUUUUGAUUUACCCAAAAUCAACCUUGAGAUGGGAAUUCAAGUAUCAGUGGUUUAUUGGAAGGUGAUAUGGAUGGUGACAUUGCAAUGAUCUUUCCUCUUGCUUACUUCAAUGAACUUGAAAAUAUGGUUGCAUUUUAAAAGGCCUGUGCUACCUUUAUGAGCUGUAGCACUCACUGCAGAGGUCUGCGGCUUCACUCCUGAAGUCAAGUCGGGGAGACCAUGAAACCACCGGAAGGAAGAAACCCCGGACACAUCUGAACAUGUGAAGGAACAAACUCCUGACACAACAUCUUUACGAACUGUAACGCUCACCGUGAGGGUCUGCGGCUUCAUUCUUGAAGUCAGCGAGACCGAGAACCCACUGGAAGGAACCAAUUCCAGACACAUUAUCACUAAUUAAACCUAUGUCUGUACCUUCUAGCAUUAUAUAUAAAAAGUGCAACAUAGAAAACAAAAUUUAAAUCCACAACUAUUUAAUAUUCACAACUUCUGGAUUUAUCUCAUGUUGCAAACUAUUUUUGUUACCCUAUUCUUUGAGAAAUAUAAAACAUCAGUAUUUCAUUGGUGAAAUGUUCUUUAUAGUAGUUUAAAUAAUAAUUGCAUACAAUCACGUGCUAUAUGUAUACUCUCCUGCAAUAAAGAAUGGCAUGAGCAUAAUUACAAGAAUUAAUGACCUUGCAUUAGUGUAGCUGUAAAUCAAGCAAAAUCUGCAAAUUAUUUUAAUUGCAGCAUCCAGUUAAAAUAUUUUGGUCAAUGAGCCUUUACAAAUUGUAUUAAAAUGCGUAAAAAUAAUUUUGCUGUGCUAUAUAUUAUGCUAACACACAUUUAUGAUGGGAGACUUUCAAAUACAAUCUUUCCUUUUUUUCUAAUAGAA
ensembl:lncRNA LINC02146 long intergenic non-protein coding RNA 2146